GUGGGCUACGCCGCUACGCCACAUUUAGGCCUACAUAAAAACAGGAGUGUUUUUUAUUUAUUUAUUUAUUUUUUUUUAAAUAAAUUAUAAAAACUUAAUUUAGUAAAAAAGCAGCAGUGCUGCCAGUGAUGUCCGUGGUUUGUUUUGCGAAUCUGGACUUUCAUCAAUCACAACGCUGAACUCGCUCAACGCACGAGACCUUAAACACCAACAUCUUCAGAGCGCCGCCUUUUCAUUUCACCUGACAGACUGCAGGAGCCUGUAACCGGAUUAUCACACCGCAAAACCAGCAUAGGAUCCACUGGUGAGCAAGUGAUGUAAUGCUAAAUUUCUCCAAAUCUGUUCUGAUGAAGAAACAAACUUCUACAUCUCGGAUGACCUGAGGAUGUUUGGUCUGAAGGUGGGAGGUGUGUGUUUUCUCAAAUGACCUGAGCGUAUCGGAGCAGGAGUGGAAGGACAGAGCUGGAUUUGAAUUCAGCCUCGCAAGAAAUGAAACCCCUACAGGCCAGAGCUACAAAUCUGCUGCCAAUGCCAAAGCUGUCCAACACUACACAACCCAACAAGAGCAUUUCUGCUGCAUACUAAACAGCCCGGGCAGGACUGUGUGUUUCUCUGGUGCUGAAACAACACGUCUGGAACCGCUUUGCCUGUUUUCAUCACAGAAAAGGUGGUUCUGGGCCAGAAAACUCAAAUCUGCAGAAAAAAGUUGUAAUGACAACAACAAUCUGGUAAAACUAAUGCAAUAAGUAAGUAAAUAAAGGGAAGCUGUGUCCUAA